GCCCGGCUAGCUCAAUCGGUAGAGCGUGAGACUCUUAUCCAUCAUCCGGUCUUUGAUCGUGGUGGACAGUGGACAUCUCAAGGUUGUGGGUUCGACCCCCACGUCGGGCU